rnacentral:snoRNA from 1 species
GGGCCGAUGAUGAUCAAACAAAACUUUCGUUCUACCGAGCAGGCACAGCCUGUGUGGAAACAACUUGGAGACCUGAACUGAAGGCCA